UACGUAGGGUGCGAGCGUUAAUCGGAAUUACUGGGCGUAAAGCGUGCGCAGGCGGUUCGUUAAGUCAGCUGUGAAAGCCCCGGGCUCAACCUGGGAAUUGCGGUUGAAACUGGCGAACUAGAAUCUGGCAGAGGGGGGUGGAAUUCCACGUGUAGCAGUGAAAUGCGUAGAUAUCAGGAGGAACACCGGUGGCGAAGGCGGCUCUCUGGACGGUGACUGACGCUGAGACGCGAAAGCGUGGGGAGCAAACAGG
rnacentral:rRNA from 1 species